rnacentral:rRNA from 1 species
UAGUCCACGCCGUAAACGAUGAUUACUCGAUGUUGGUGAUACACAAUCAGCGUCCACGCGAAAGCUUUAAGUAAUCCACCUGGGGAGUACGAUCGCAAGGUUGAAACUCAAAGGAAUUGACGGGGGCCCGCACAAGCGGAGGAGCAUGUGGUUUAAUUCGACGAUACGCGAGGAACCUUACCUAGACUUAAAUGUAGAUUGCAUAGAUUGGAAACAGUCUUUUCCUUCGGGACUAUUUACAAGGUGCUGCAUGGUUGUCGUCAGCUCGUGCCGUGAGGUGUCGGGUUAAGUCCCAUAACGAGCGCAACCCCUAUCGUUAGUUGCCAGCGGAUCAUGCCGGGGACUCUAACGAAACUGCCGGCGCAAGCCGAGAGGAAGGUGGGGAUGACGUCAAAUCAGCACGGCCCUUACGUCUAGGGCUACACACGUGCUACAAUGGCCGGUACAGAGGGCAGCCACCUGGUGACAGGGAGCAAAUCUCCAAAGCCGGUCUCAGUUCGGAUCGAAGU